GAAAUGCGAUAAGUAAUGUGAAUUGCAGAAUUCAGUGAAUCAUCGAUUCUUUGAACGCACAUUGCGCCCGCCAGCACUCUGGCGGGCAUGCCUGUUCGAGCGUCAUUUCAACCCUCAGAACCCCUUGCGGGAUCUGGCGUUGGGGAUUGGCAUCCAGCCAGCCCCGAAAUCUAGUGGCGGUCCCUCCGCGACCUCCCCUGUGCAGUAGCGAUACCUCGCAGCGGGACAGCGGUCUGACCACGCCGUAAAACCCCCAACUUCUCAAGGUUGACCUCGAAUCAGGUAGGAAUACCCGCUGAACUUAAGC
rnacentral:misc_RNA from 1 species